CCAACAACCUACAUACAGUGCUUUAUCAAGAUCUUCAAGGAAAAGAAAGGAAAUGUGGGGACAGACCCUGGCAGAGUUGAUGCAACAAAUAGAUGCAGUGAUUAAACUCUGCAGAAAUUUCCCAACACCGACAUAAAACUGCUGAGGGGAGCCGCCAGGAACAAGCUUAAUGAGGAAAGCAAGAAUUUCAAAAAUAUCCGAGUUGGAGCUGGACCUGCAAUCCCAGGAAAUGAAGACUGAAUUACAUUUAUUAAUAAAAAUAUAAAUUAUAU